rnacentral:rRNA from 1 species
CAGUCGCCGCGGUAAUACGGAGGGUGCAAGCGUUAAUCGGAAUUACUGGGCGUAAAGCGCACGCAGGCGGUUUGUUAAGUCAAAUGUGAAAUCCCCGAGCUUAACUUGGGAACUGCAUUUGAAACUGGCAAGCUAGAGUCUUGUAGAGGGGGGUAGAAUUCCAGGUGUAGCGGUGAAAUGCGUAGAGAUCUGGAGGAAUACCGGUGGCGAUGGCGGCCCCCUGGACAAAGACUGACGCUCAGGUGCGAAAGCGUGGGGAGCAAACAGGAUUAGAUACCCGGGUAGUCCCUGUCUCUUAUAA